rnacentral:rRNA from 1 species
UACGGGGGGGGCAAGCGUUGUUCGGAAUUACUGGGCGUAAAGGGCUCGUAGGUGGCCAACUAAGUCAGACGUGAAAUCCCUCGGCUUAACCGGGGAACUGCGUCUGAUACUGGAUGGCUUGAGUUCGGGAGAGGGAUGCGGAAUUCCAGGUGUAGCGGUGAAAUGCGCAGAUAUCAGGAGGAACACCGGUGGCGAAGGCGGGUCUCUGGGCCGAUACUGACGCUGAGGCGCGAAAGCGUGGGGAGCAAACAGG